ensembl:snoRNA
UUCCAAAGUGUUGAGUUCAGUUCAGGCAACUUCCUGUUCUGUCAAUUAAACUUUGGGACAUUGAAAUGGGCUGGAGGAAACUACUGGAUAGAAAGUAUUACUCUAUUCACUUAUCUCCCAGCCUACAAAA